UUUGUGUCCGUCAUAAUCAUCUAUGUGGUUGUCGUACCUUUGUGCUCAUGUGGGAACAGAGCUAGCUAACUAUUGACAAAUGGUCACGACAUGGAAAGCUCUUGACAACUAGAUUACGAUAGGAUCCGCACUGGGGCUAGCUAACUAUUGAACAAAGCAAGUUUGUUCUUGGGCUGACUAGUAUAUUUGUGGGCAUCCUUAUCUUCAUAGGGCAUUUUGGCAUAUAUGAAAAUCCACUACAGCAAGUUAACACAAAAACCAUGUCGAUAUGCUGAUCAUUGUGCUAUGCGCGCUCUGGCCGGUCGGAUAGGUCCAUAAAUAUACACUAGCACUCAACUAGUCUCACACAGGCACAACAACUAGCCAUCUUCAUUGACAAGAAGUAAGUUCACCUCCGUGAUCUCGAGUAAUCGACUGAAUAAUAUAAUCCAUCAUCAAAGAUGAGUUCCAUUGUCAUGGAUGUUACCAGCGGCGAGAAGAAGACAUCAUGGCCCGAGGUGCUGGGCAUGUCCAUCAAGGAGGCGACGGAGAUCAUUCUGAAAGACAUGCCCAACGCGUACAUUCAGGUGCUGCCUGUUGGUUCACCUGUGACCCUGGACAUUCGCCCCGAUCGCGUCCGCAUCUUCGUUGAUACCGUCGCCAAGACUCCGACAGUUGGCUGAUAAACAGUUCGACUUUUGCAUGACCCAAUAAAGAAAACCUACUUCUAUUUAUAUUUUCUGUUAAUAAAUCAUGCCUUUCUCGGC